AUUGAACGCUGGCGGAAUGCUUUACACAUGCAAGUCGAACGGCAGCACGGGUGCUUGCACCUGGUGGCGAGUGGCGAACGGGUGAGUAAUACAUCGGAACGUACCCAGUUGUGGGGGAUAACGAGUCGAAAGAUUCGCUAAUACCGCAUACGACCUGAGGGUGAAAGCGGGGGACCGUGAGGCCUCGCGCAAUUGGAGCGGCCGAUGUCUGAUUAGCUAGUUGGUGGGGUAAAGGCUCACCAAGGCGACGAUCAGUAGCUGGUCUGAGAGGAUGAUCAGCCACACUGGAACUGAGACACGGUCCAGACUCCUACGGGAGGCAGCAGUGGGGGAAUAUUGGACAAUGGGCGAAAGCCUGAUCCAGCAAUGCCGCGUGAGUGAUGAAGGCCCUAGGGUUGUAAAGACUCUUUUACCAGGGAUGAUAAUGACAGUACCUGGAGAAUAAGCUCCGGCUAACUCCGUGCCAGCAGCCGC
rnacentral:rRNA from 1 species